CACGACUUCAAUCCUUGAAUGCC
rnacentral:siRNA from 1 species